UCAAACCAGAUCACUUUGUUUUAUCAAGUGUUCUAAAAUCGUGCUCUAAUCUAGCAGGGAGUCCUCAUUCCCACGGAAAGCAAAUUCAUGGGUACACAGUUAAAAAAGGUUUUGAAAUAGAAUCUGCAAUGACAACAUCUCUGAUUGAUAUGUACUCAAAAUGUGGCGAAAUUGACAGCAGUCUAACUUUGUUUCGAGCUGCGAAUGGUGUGCUCGACACACUGUGCUGGACAACCAUAAUUGCAGGGUGUGGGCAAAAUGGAAAGGAGAAAGAAGCAAUUGGAUAUUUUGGGGAAAUGUUAAGCUCAGGUGUGCAAGACAGGAAGUAAACGGUGAAGGAACUCUUACCUGGAAGUUGCCGGAAUGGACUGGAGGUAUCGCCCGCUGCUCGCCGGAUGGAAGUAUUUCCCUCACCGCAGCUCGCCGGAUGGAAGUAUCACCCUCACCGGACAGGUCGCUCGUCAGAAGUUGGAAUCGUAGUUGGUCAGAAAUCAGAAACGGGAGUGGGAGAAAAUCACAAACGGGAGUGGGAGAAAAAUUGAUGAGGGGAACUCGUUUGCCGUUGGGAGGGAAUGGGGGGGGUUUGGGGGUUUUGGGAUAGUUUUAAU
rnacentral:lncRNA from 1 species